rnacentral:rRNA from 1 species
CCUACGGGCGGCAGCAGUGAGGAAUAUUGGUCAAUGGACGCGAGUCUGAACCAGCCAAGUAGCGUGAAGGAUGACUGCCCUAUGGGUUGUAAACUUCUUUUAUAAGGGAAUAAAGUGAGGCACGUGUGCCUUUUUGUAUGUACCUUAUGAAUAAGGAUCGGCUAACUCCGUGCCAGCAGCCGCGGUAAUACGGAGGAUCCGAGCGUUAUCCGGAUUUAUUGGGUUUAAAGGGAGCGUAGGUGGGUUGUUAAGUCAGUUGUGAAAGUUUGCGGCUCAACCGUAAAAUUGCAGUUGAUACUGGCAGCCUUGAGUACAGUAGAGGUAGGCGGAAUUCGUGGUGUAGCGGUGAAAUGCUUAGAUAUCACGAAGAACUCCGAUUGCGAAGGCAGCUUACUAGACUGCAACUGACAUUGAUGCUCGAAAGUGUGGGUAUCAAACAGGAUUAGAUACCCGAGUAGUC